CUGCUCUCUUUAGCUGUUAAUUCUAUUCCUGUAAACAGAGUAACUCUGAGGAAUUUCUACGUGCUUUCUAUCUAAUCUGCAGUCCUCACUGAACUUCCAACAAGAACAAGAACAAUGGUGUACACACAGUUCCUACAUUCAUACCAGUUUCUACCACCCCCCCCCCUUUUGUGUGUGUGUUGAACUCUAGCCAAACACUAAAUUACUUUGGGAAGUAAGGUAGAAGAGAAAAAAAGCCCAAAGAUGGCAUUUGGCCUCAAUUUUAUAAGCAUAUUCAAUCUUAAUUUAGACAAAGAGAAAAAAAGUUUUUUAGCGUGAGAAUCCUGAGAACUGGAAAGAAGUGUGUUUUUCAGACAAGUCUGUCUUUGUAAGUUUGCAGGUGACUGUACUCCUGUUUCGAUGCAGGUGGGGCUGUUGAUCAAGUGAGUAUGUGUAUGUGUGUGUCUAUAAAUCCACACCCAUUUUUAACCAGAAAUAUCCAGACUAUACUUCCAGCAAGAACAUUUGCUAGUUCAGGAUGGGGAGAUGACAUCACUUGGGUAAAGACUUGUGAAGAAGAUCUUUCAUAUUCUAAACAGAUCCUUCUUAACAGUCAGAGCUGAUAUAAGUGGAAGAUACUCUAAUAGACUGUAUACAUAUGAACCUCAGGACUCACCAGCAUGUAAGUAUUCACAAAUUGUCUUGAACAGUGGUAGGAGCUUUGUUUGACUGUUAGUAGGUCAGUGAUGCCCUACAUCUACCUAGUCCCACACACAGCGCUAUUCACAAAUGAGAAUCACCAGAGUCAGUGGUGGAGGUAGUGUUUAAAAAUGAAACACACAGCUCCUAUCACAAUAAGAAUUUCUGGGGCACCUCAAAAUCUUUUGUUGUUGUUGUUGUUGUUGUUGUUUUUAACAGAGAUGUCAAAUACUUUUUAUGAUCUCUAAAUCUGGGACCACCAAGAAUAGACUACAUGUUAGAAUUAAACUUUAAGGGAGCCAGUCCAUUCUUGUGAUAUUAAAGAUCAUAUGUAAUUUCCUCAAACUGAUAAUAAUUAAAACUUUUUAUCUUCUUGUAAUGUUUAUACGCAAGAAGAUACAGUCUGUCUUUGGACUUGAAUUUUUAUAACAUUCAGUAUCGAGUAUAUGCAAUCUGAUCACUAUACUUGUCAGAUGCAUCAAUAAUCAUAGAAAAUGAUCUAUUAGACAGACACUCCCUCAAAAAUCUCUCUGAUUUAAUUGUUUAACAUAAAGACAAUUCAUUAUCAGCUCUGAAUGGUCUAAUCCCUAAAUUUAUGUGUAUACCAUUGGCAGACCGUUCUUUAAUGUUGUAGAUAAAUCCUGAUGUUUUCAUAGUAUUAAUUUAAAGGGGCCAAUUUCAGGACACCUGGGUGGCUCAAGUGGUUAACAUCUGCCUUUGGCUCAGGUCAUGAUCCCAGGGUCCUGGGAUCUAGCCCCUCAUUGAGACUGGCAUCAAGCUCCCUGCUCAGCUCAGCAGGAGCCUGCUUCUCCCUCUCGCCUGCUUGUGUUACCUCUCUCUCUCAAAUAAAUAAACCUUUAAAAAAAAAGGGUUUUAUUUA
rnacentral:lncRNA from 12 species